GUGGGCUAUGGUGACAUGCGGCCGAUAACUGUAUGGGGCAAAAUUGUGGGUUCACUGUGUGCUAUUUCCGGCGUCUUAACCAUCGCUCUCCCAGUCCCGGUAAUCGUCAGCAAU
rfam:Nematostella vectensis strain CH2 x CH6 NEMVEscaffold_153_Cont15908, whole genome shotgun sequence.